GACCCUUUAAGGGUCCUGAAGGAACGUUGAAGACGACGACGUUGAUAGGCCGGGUGUGUAAGCGCAGCGAUGCGUUGAGCUAACCGGUACUAAUGAACCGUGAGGCUUAACCUU
rnacentral:rRNA from 1 species